GAAAAUGAAAUAUAUAGAACUUCUAAUUCUAAAAAUUGCUAACAUUGUAACAUUUUCU
rnacentral:tRNA from 1 species